CUACGGGUCGCUCCAGUGGGGAAUAUUGGACAAUGGACCAAAAGUCUGAUCCAGCAAUUCUGUGUGCACGAUGACGGUUUUCGGAUUGUAAAGUGCUUUCAACAGGGAAGAAGUUCUGACGGUACCUGUAGAAGAAGCGACGGCUAAAUACGUGCCAGCAGCCGCGGUAAUACGUAUGUCGCAAGCGUUAUCCGGAUUUAUUGGGCAUAAAGGGCAUCUAGGCGGCUUAGUAAGUCUGAUGUGAAAAUGCGGGGCUCAACUCCGUAUUGCGUUGGAAACUACUAAGCUAGAGUAUUGGAGAGGUAGGCGGAACUACAUGUGUAGAGGUGAAAUUCGUAGAUAUAUGUAGGAAUGCCGAUGACGAAGGUAGCUUACUGGACAAUUACUGACGCUGAAGUGCGAAAGCUAGGGGAGCAAACAGGAUUAGAUACCCUCGUAGUC
rnacentral:rRNA from 1 species